ensembl:snoRNA small nucleolar RNA SNORA3/SNORA45 family
AGCGAGGCUAGAGUCACGCCUGGACAUCAUCCCAUUGUCUUGGUGUGCUAGAGUGCUCGCAGAGAAAAGGUCUUUGCUUAUUCAUUGGCUGUAGUCUGUUGUGGCCCAGUCAAUCACCAACUCAGACACAUUA